rnacentral:lncRNA from 10 species
UGGAGUUGGUCUUCACCUUGAAACCUUCAUUGCAGAGGCACUGGUAUCCGACAGUGACCUUCAUCCCCUUACCUUGGGCCUUUUCUACUGCAAAUGUGGUCCCUUGUACCCAUCAGUUCUUCUCCAACUCUUUUCCUUCCUGAAGCAUACUUAAAUCAGAAGCAAUAAAAAUAAAGAAAAAUCAGGGACAUCUGUGUGUGUGUGUAUAUGUGUGUACGUUUGUGUAUAUGUGUGUGUAUGCAUAUGUGUGUGUCUGUACGUAUGUAUGUGCAUGUGUCUAUGUGUACGUGUGUAUGUGUGUCCAUAUGUGUCUGUGUGUACGUGUGUGUGUGUGUGUGUUCAUUAAGGAAAACACUUCUUUUGGUUGUGACAGAAAAUUCAGCCCAAAUUCUCAUAAAAGAAAAGAAUGUAUUGGCUGAUAGAUGCUGAAAAGUUGAAAGAUCCAGGGGAGCUUCAGGCACAACUUAAAUUAGGGCUUAGCCAAUGUCCCCAGGAUUCCUCUCUCUGCUCCCCAUCCUCUGAGCAGCUCCACUUUUAGCUCUAUUGACUCCUCAUAUAUAAAAUAUGUAAAUAUGUUUAUAUACAUAUGAAUAUAUACAUUUAUGCAAUCUAUUUAUAUAUAUGUAUAUAUGUGUGUAUAUAUACAUAUAUAAAGAGAUUUAUUAUAAAGAAUUGGCUCCCAUGAUUAUGGAAGCUGACAAAUGUCAAGAUCUGCAGAGUGAGUCAGAAAUCUAAAGACCCAGGAGAGCUCAUGGUGCAAGUCCAAAGUCCAAGUCUGAAGGCCGGAGAACUGAUGGUGUAGUUGCAGUCCAAAGGACCCAGGAAGAGCCACUGUUUCAGUCUGAAGAUACUCAGACAGGAGGAAUUCCAUCUUACUUGGGAGAGGGUCAACCAUUUUGUUCUAGUCAGGACUUCAACUGAAGGGUGAGGCCCACCCACAUGAGGGGGACAAUCUGCUUUACUCAGCCUACUGAUUCAAAUGACAAUCUCAUCCAAAAACAUCGUCACAGAAACACUCAGAAUAAUGUUUGACCAUCCCGUGGCCGUGCUUUUUGACCGCUAAAGCCCAAAUACAGGGUCGUCUAUAUAUGGGUUGUGAAUAGAGGUAAGAUAGUCCCUACACAGGAGAAUUUGAGGACUAUUGCCCAAGAAGAUAAGUGGAAGCUAGGGGCAAUAAACAAGUGUCUACUACAAGCUGCAGAUUUGAAAGUUAAAGUGAGAACGGAACCAAAAAAAUGUUGAGUGACUGCUAUAAACUAGGCA